UACGUAGGGUGCGAGCGUUGUCCGGAAUACUGGGCGUAAAGCGCACGUAGGUGCGACGUAAGUCGGGUGUGAAAGCCCCGGGCUCAACCUGGGAAUUGCAUUCGAGACUGCAUUGCUGGAGUACGGAAGAGGAGGCGGAAUUCCCGGUGUAGCGGUGAAAUGCGUAGAUAUCGGAGGAACAUCAGUGGCGAAGGCGGCCUUCUGGUCCAGUACUGACACUCAAGUGCGAAAGCGUGGGAGCAAACAGG
rnacentral:rRNA from 1 species